UCUAUUGAGCAAAACCCCUAAUAAACCCCCAGCCCACAAUCAGUCUGACAGAGGCUACAGAGCGUCAGCGAUGUCGGCCGCCACAGCCGCCCGGUCCUUACUACGCUCCGCCGCGACCAGAACCACCGCCAGCGUCGGGAGAGCCGCCGGCUCGGCCUCGAAGUCGAAUCCUGCCCGCUCUGCAUUUCGCGUCUCAGCUCAGAAGCCCCUUCCUCAUCGCAUCUUCAGGUCGCCGGUGGAGAUGAGCAGCUGCGUGGAGUCGAUGCUUCCGUACCACACAGCCACCGCCUCCGCGUUGCUCACUUCGAUGCUCUCCGUCUCUCGCCGCACCUACGGGUGGACUCCUGAAGAUUCCAAUGAUGAUGUAUAAUGAAUGUCGGGAAGGGUCAGCAAGGUUCAUGUACAUGAGCUCUAAGACAAGCAGGUGCAUGAUAAUGUCAUGUAGGAACAUAAGUGAUUGGCCUCUACAGUACCUUCGGUUAAGAACAGCUUUGGUUUUUCUCUGCUGUAGAUGGAUGAUCUUUUGUUGUUCGACGGAGAAUGGUCGUAGUAUUGAUCAAGUCAGUGGACAUUACAAGACUUUGCUUACUCAUGUCUUCAGAGAUUUGAUGCCCAUAACAGGAAGUAGGAUCAGAAGAAUAAUUCCCUUGUUAUGUACUUUUUAAAAUUAUGGUUCGGAUUGGUUGGUUGUGGACCAGUCCUCCUUUUCUGUUUUACUACGGUUUUCUUACGUCGUAAUUGUGAUUUUUCUAGAACUAUAUAUCUACUUCGUUGCAAUUUUCGUAAGGUACUUCAUUGCAAUUUUACCUGUCAUUUGGGAUCAGAACAGCUUAUGGUCAAGUGUUUUCAACUGUUUCUGUUAUU